UAACCCAACUACCACACCAUGAGGGCAUUCUAGCAAAUCUACAGAGAGGUCCAUGUGGUAAGAAACUGAGGCCUCCUGCCAACAACCAGCACUAACAUAACAGCCAUGUGUGGGAGCUCUUUUAGAAGUAAUCAAUCAGCCUCAGUCAAACCUUCUGAUAACCACAGCCCAGGCUGACAUCUUGACUGCAACUUCGUGAAAGACCCUGAGCCAGAACUUCUCAGCUAAGACUUUCCUGACCCAAACUCAUGUUUUGAGGAUUCACAGUCCAGGAAUCAAGGAGUAGAAAUAAAAUGGUACUACUUGCUAUUACCCCUAGUGAUCUGCUAGCAAAAUUUUUGCUUCCUGUUUCUGCGACUUUAUGUUCUGCUGGCCUAGAAGUCUUCAUUCCAAAAGGAGAUGUGCUUCUGUAAGAAGAUACAACACUGAUUCCACCAAAAUGGAAGUUAAGACUGCCACCAGCCAUGUUGGACUCCCUAUGUUUUUGAAUCAACAGAUAAGUAAGAGUUACUGUGCUGGCUGGAGUGAUUGAUCCUGACUACCAAGGGGAAGUUGGACUACUACAGUGGAGGUUCCAAAUCUGGAUUUCAGUCACCCAGUAUCCAGCUGGCAAUAUCUUUUCAAAAUGUGGCCAAUUCUUGACCAUGGAAGAACCCAGUCAUUCAGCUUACUAAGACCUUCUGAGGCAUGGGGAAUUACUAUAAGACAUAUGCCAGAUUAUUUGCGCCUAGAACACAGCCACCAUCUUGUGAGGAAGCCCAAGAAGCCUUUGGUGAGCUCAUGUGAAGAGGAACAGAGACCCCUGGCCCACAGCCCCUGAAUCCCAGCCAUCAGCUAAUACCACCUUGCCAGCCACAUGAGUGAGCCAUCUUCAAUGUGGAGCUUUCAGCCCCCACUGGAAAUAGAUGAUGUGGAAUAGAGCUGAGGCAUAUCACAUCUACCAAGCUUUGUCUGAAUUGCAGAUGUGUAUGUGAGAAUAUCAAAAUAUGAAAAAGUGAAUGGGAAGAUGGAGAUGGAUGUUGAGGGAGUUUCUCCGCGCCCGGAGCCCAUCCCCCGCUCCCAAGGGGUUGGCGGAGCCUGCCAGGCGCCGCCACAGCCGCCCCAGCCCCAGCUGCCGCCGCAGCCGCUGGCUCAGGAUGAACUGCCCGGCGAGAGUGCCGGCGCUGAGGACAGCGACGAUCCCGAGACGAGACCCAACGGCGAGAAAGGAGAGAGCAAGUAUUUCAGUGACAUCAUCCACUCAGGAGAGUUGGGGCGAGGCUGGCUGAGGUUUUCAAGGAGCUGAGUUUUGAGUUCAGGUGCUCAUGUAGCAGUGGAAUGAUGCCUCCUGACCUUUCAGACCUUUGAGACCUCUGGGCGGUCUUAGAAAUCACCUCAAGCCUCCAUCCAGUCCAGGAUACGACUGCCUAGGGGAAUUCCAGGGAAAGGUGGCAGAGAUACCAUGGACUUUAAGGUGAUGAAUACCACAAUGAGCUCACUACAAGAUCUCAAAGAUUCCAAGCCACUGGCUAUUCCAAAGCAUAAAGCCACCCUUCAGGAGAAGCGUUGGGAGGCAGGCUGAGGGGAGGCCCUGAGUUUUUGCCAGAGGAUGGAUCACCCCUUUGGGUGUCCUGGGAGCCACUGAAGCAUAGUGAGGAAGGUGUUGCAGAUGCACAGGACAGAAACCCAGAAACUGGAACCAACAGGCACCUAAAGUUGACUCGCACCCAGCAUCCCUGCAGACUGAUGUUCUCUGAGCUGUAGUUCUUCACUGGACUGUUUUUCCUUUGCUAUCACCUGCCUAACACAUAGUGCUGGAUGCUUUUGACUGGUUGGAUUUCUUUUUUUUUUUUCCUGUAUUUUUUCUUUCCUUGAUUCUGGGAAUUAUAAAAAAAAAUUGCUUUAAAAAGUAUUAUUCUGUGCUGAAAUUAGCCUUGUUUAUGAAGAAGUUUUAUCCCUAGGGAUUUCCUGAAUUGCAGCCCCAGGUUACCUGGUAAAUAGGGCUGUGUUGUUUGAUUUGUAUAGUACUGAUCUGUAGGUUAAAAUACAUUUCCUUUCUUUUGUUUCAUUCUUUUUUUAAAAAGUUUGGAUCCAGGUAGUGGCCUGAGUCACAUUUGCUUAGCUACUGAAGCGAUCUCAACGUGGUAUCGCUUAGAUUUGAAACAUAAUCAAACAUACAUUAUACCUGAGGCUCUUGCACACUAUUUGACGUAUAUGUUACACUACAAAGAAACACAAACCUUGUGGCUUGAAAUUUAAUUCCUGUUUGAUCCUGCAGCUAGAAUGCUAAAGAAAUUGUAAAUAUCAAAAGUGGCUUCAAAUACCCUGAAUGUAAGCUAGUCAACAGUAAGUGGAUGGUUUCAGAAUACCAUUUUCUAAGACAAAGCAGGAAUUAGAGAUCUACUGCCCACAUCCACAAUGUUGCUCAGGUCUGUCUGUGGAUCUGUCCAUUUUGGAGUAAAGAACAAGGCAUGCUUCUGUGAUUGUGCUUACGAAAACUGUGGUGUUUCCGAUUUAUGUUUUGUAAUUGUGCCUGCCUUGCAAUAAAACACCUUCAGUUGACUCAGCAA